AAGUUAAUUAUGUGAUUGCUCAUAAUAAUUAACUUUUUGUGUAAAUAAAUCAAUUGAUUAGCUGAUUUAAUUAUUAUGACAAUAAAAAUCACAUAUAAAUAUUGACUCAACUUCAAUCCAAUUGAUUAAUUUAAUCGUUGAACAUCAAACCUUAAACAUGGACAAUCAACUGAUUCAUCUCAUCAUUUUUCUAAUUGUUGUUAAACUUUUAAUUGUUAAUUGUAAUCCAAUCGAGGAAAUUAAAUCAACCGAAUGAAGUCAAGUGAAAAAUUGGAUGAUAUUGAUGAUCGUCAACCAACAACAAUCAAUAAAUCAGCAAUCAAUGAAGAUUCAACAACCAAAUUAAAACCUCGACAAUACUGGUUACCAGGGGUUUCAGCUCAUUACGGCCCCGGUCCCGGUCUCGGUUAUGGUUACGGUCUUGGCUAUGGUCUUGGUUACGGUUAUCCACCUUCACCAUUUGGCUUUGAUUACUAUUGAUUAUUUUCAAAGCUCUAAUGGAGAUGCCUAAUCAUUAUAAUAGUUACAAUUGUUUCCAAUCUUGAUGGUUUUUCAAAUCGAUCCAAUAACUAAAUCAAUCAACAAUCAGAGUGUUUAUUUUUUGUAAUCAAAUCCAUAUUUUUCCAAUUCAAUGUAAUUAAAAGGGAAGCAUACAAUUUUUACUCUAUGAGAAUAUUAAAAAUUUAAACAGCAAUUAACUUGGUUUCUAAUUAAUUUAUGU